rnacentral:rRNA from 1 species
CCUUGUUUAUCCUGCAAGAGGUUGCUGCUAUCUGAAUUCCAAUAAGACAUGCAAGUCUAUGACGCAAGUCAUGGCAAACCGCUCAGUAACGCGUCGAUAACGUUCCUUCAGGCCUGGAAUAACCUUGGGAAACUGAGGAUAAGACCGGAUAGCGUACGGACACUGGAAUGUUCCAUACGCCAAAGGUAACACCUGAAGAUCGGUCGGCGUCGGAUUAGGUCGUUGGCGGUGUAAUGGACCACCAAGCCGAAGAUCCGUACGGGCCUUGAGAGAGGGUGCCCGGAGAGGGACACUGAGAUAUUGGUCCCAGCCCCACGGGGUGCAGCAGUCGGGAAAACUUCGCAAUGCACGAAAGUGUGACGAGGGAAUUCUGAGUGCUCAGGAUUAUGUCCUGGGCUUUUUCCAAGGGUAAAAACCUUGGCGAAUAAGUGGUGGGCAAGACUGGUGCCAGCCGCCGCGGUAACCCCAGCGCCACAAGUGGGAACCACUUUUAUUGGGUCUAAAGCAUCCGUAGCCGGUUCGGCAAAUGCCUUGUGAAAUCGUAGCGCUCAACGUUACGACGGGCAAGGUAGACUACCGAACUAGGGACCAGAAGAUGUUAGCAGUAUUCCUGGGGGAACGGUAAAAUGUUAUAAUCCCAGGAGGACUACCGAUGGCGAAGGCAGCUAACAAGUAUGGAUCCGACGGUGAGGGAUGAAAGCUAGCGGAGCGAUCCGGGUUAGAUACCCGAGUAGUCCUAGCCGUAAGCGCUGCAUGCCAGAUGUUGCACGAUCUUCGCGAUCGUGCAGUGUCGCAAUGAAGAUGUUAAGCAUGCCACCUGGGGAGUACGGUCGCAAGACUGAAACUUAAAGGAAUUGGCGGGGGAGCACUACAAGGCGUGCGGCGUGCGGUUUAAUUCAAUUCAACGCGGGAAACCUCACCAGAGGCGACGGCAGGAUGAAGUUCAGUCUAAAGGGCUUAACUGACGAGCCGAGAGGUGGUGCAUGCCCAUCGUCAGCUCGUGUCGUGAGAUGUCCUGUCAAGUCAGGCAACGAGCGAGACCUGUAUCCAUACUUGCUCACGAGGAAGCAAUUCUGAUCGCGCACAGUAUGGAGACUGCCCUGGAAACAGGGAGGAAGGUGCAGGCUACGAUAGGUCUUUAUGCCCCGAAUCUUCUGGGCUACACGCGCGCAACAAUGGUCACGACAAUGGGAUGCAACCCUGAAAAGGGAAGCUAAGCCUCGAAACGUGGCCCUAGUCCAGAUUGAGGGCUGCAACUCGCCCUCAUGACGUCGGAAUGCCUAGUAAUCAGAUGUUAUCAUCAUCCGGUGAAUAUGUCCCUGCUCCUUGCACACACCGCCCGUCAAACCAACCGAGCAGGCUUUCGGUGAGCCGCAAUUUAUUUGAUUGCGCCGAACCGUAGGUCAGUGAGGUGGGUUAAGUCGUCACCAGGUA